CAGCAGCUCCAGCUCCAGCAACUGGUAGUGCCGGAAGCCCCACAUGCAGUCGGCCAAAGACACCAGCGACACAAAGAAGAGGGGCAUGAAGACCAGAAGCGAGAAGUGGGUGUCCCUCCCCAGCCGGUCAGAGACCAGCAGCAGGAACUCCAGGCCUAAUCAGUCAUCUACUGAUGGGACAUCCUAGUAAGCAACACACUCCUUAAAGAAGCCUGGAGGCGUAUAUUGAAAUGAGACGAUCAGGCUUGAACAGCAAAGCCGCACGGAAGUGCAGAACACGAGCUUGGUCCAGAAGAGGGCCCUCCGUGGGGAAGUCUGAGCAUCUCUCUUGGCCAGUCGCUGGAGGUGGUGGCCGCCGCCUCCUUCCGCUGCUCCCUGUGGCCGCCACGCCAAUGGGGGCAACCCGGACUUAGCACAGCAGUUCCCAAGGUUUCAUUGGAUGUCUACUUCCCCGCAAGGCAGAUGGUCCAGCAAAGUCCCAUCUAAUGAACAAGUUAACCAAGCCCCACCUGAGCAAUUUUCCAGAGCACCAUGACUACAUGCUCAGGCCUCUGAGAGCCCAGGCAAUCAUCUUCGCUCAAAUCCUAAGCUGGACUUGCAUGGAGGAAGCCAGGAAGCCUCGAUCUGCGUAAGUCCUGAUACUACGCCCGCAUGGAGGAGGACCAGCUCUGACUCCCACUCCAACACUGUCCGUGGCCUUCUGUGAUGUUACAGCAGCAAGCCCAACUAGGCCACUCACCUGUCUGCUACUGCAAGGUGUUGGAAGUGACAUGUUAAGUCAAUGUUGUCCGCAUCAAGGAGGGACACCGUUUCAUUAUGGAAGACAAAUUAGAUACAGGAUAUUUUUGAAUGUUCAUUAUAUAGGCACUGUGUUACACUGUGCAUUGGUUGCCCCAUUUUAAUCUUCAGAAUAAGCCAGGAGUAAGAAUUGUGAUCUUCAUUUUACAAAUGAGAAAAUAUAAGCCCAAAGCCAUUCAUGAAUCUAUC